UCCUCUUGCUGGCCUCUGUCCCGAAGAGGCCAGCUGCCCUGGACAGAGCAAUCCCAGUUCUCCGAGGGCUUCUCCUGCGGGAGCACCGGCCAGCAGCUAUCGAGGCUUCUUGAGAAUUUUUCACAUCAUGGCUGGAUUUCAUUCUGAAAUGUCCCAGGAACCCUCCUUCUGAGACUUGUGAAGCUGCUGCAUGUCCCCAUGUUACAUUCACAGCCCCAGGGCGCACACAUGGCUCGUGUUUCGGAUACAUGGCUGACCUGACUUGAAGCCACUGGCUCCAGAGCUGCAUGGUGCAAAGGGGUGAAGAGGGCGUUCCCGGGCCCAGCUGGCUGUGCCCAGCGUCGGAUCUGCCAAUCAUCCGGCAUCCGUUCCCAGCUGGUCCGGAGCACCGAGCAAAGAGCUCAGCAGACAGUGUGUACACCGGAGCGAAGCAGGACGAGCAGCUUCUGGAGAAGACUUCUCUCAGGGUAAGCCUGUUGCUGCCUCUGGAGAAAAAAAAAAUCUCACAAGCAAGGGGCGGGGAAGGGGAGCAGGGGCAUGCGUGAACGCUCUCUCACCUUCUCUGUGUGAGGGGCCUGGCCUAGGAGCUGUUCUUCCGGCGCUGGAACGUGACAUGAAGAAUUUCACCACCAAAACUCAGUAACUGGAGGGUCUUUCAACAUGCGCACCCUUGACCGCUACCCUGAAAGCCCUCGGGAAGCCAGGCACGGCGGUGCCCCCCAUAACCCCAACACUUGGGGGCAAAAGCCGGUGGGUCUCUGCGAGUGCCAAGCCAGCCUGUGAAGAGUGACGGUCGGGCUGUGUAAAGAACCUCAUCUCAAAAAGCAAAACAGAAAAGAAAAUGCUUCAGGCUCUGAGGGAUGCGACGCCCAUAACAGAAUGCACUUUUUUUAAACUAAAAGUGUGUGUGUGUGUGUGUGUGUGUGUGUGUGUGUGUGUGUGUGUGUGUGUGUGCGCGCGCGCGCGCGCACUACCUGCCCAUGUGUGUGUGGAUCAUGUACAUGCCUGGCUCCCACAGAGGCCAGCAGAGGGUGUCAGGUCCCCUGGAACUGGAGUUACCGAGAGUUGUGAGCCGGAGUGUGCAGAGAAUCAAGCUGUGGUCUGGAAGGGCGGCCGGUGCUUGAGCCGCCCGAGGUGUGAACACAGAUUCUCAGCGCCUGAUGCUGCGCCCCAGUCACCGUGGGUGAGUGUCGCCGUCGGUGCCCUACCCUUCCCUCCUCGAUGCUGUGAGCACAGACGCUGCCCUUGCGUGUGACGUGUGAGGCUGCGUGCUCAGGACAGCUGUCACGCACUAGUAGACAUGGCAGACGCGCCGCUCCACGCAGCACCUUCCUCCCGGUGCCACACCUGCCACAAACAACACCACAGGCGUGCAGACGCCCAGCUAGGAACGAGGGCACAAGCAGUUGUGAGUGCUAGGAUCUGAGCCCAAGAGUGGUAAGCACUCUUAACCGCCCCACCCGCCCUCGUCUUCUCGUUUGCUUGUUUGUUUGGUGUGUCACGCUACAAAGCCCUGGCUGGCCUGACACUCUCCUGUAUAGACCAGGCUGGUCUCAGACUCGCAGAGAGCCGCUGCUCUUGCCUCCCAGGGGCCAGGAUUGUGCUUUGUUGUGUUCUGCUUCACUUUCCUUGUCUCUAAUGCCAAGUCCUGCGCACUGUUCUCACUCUCCGAGGUGGCUGGUGUCUCUAGCCUCAAUGAACAGCUGCACUUGUGAGCACACACAUGCACACGCACAAAAUUAAAAUAAAAUACAUAUACAGAGACACGGGGUUCAAGGGAACCUCCUCGCUAAGUUGCAGCUGACAUCAGAUUCAAACUCAGAUCAAGCUGACCCCAAAGGCAGAAUUUCUUCGGCCAUCUCUACAAAACUAGUUAGCGACAAUCGGGGCCUGUGCCUCGUGGGCCUCACUGUGGAUGCUGAGCGACGGUGCUCUGCACAUAAGGACGGUUAUGGGAAGCCAAAGGCCAAUAUGAUUUUCUCUGCACAACUCUAAGUUCAGAAGGAAUGGGAGCGCUGGCCGGAGGGAAGAAAUGCGGGAGGCGCCAUCUUUAUUGCCAGUGAAUCCCAGGAUUCUCCCCAGCUCUCUGUCUCUGUGAGUGUGUGUGUGUGUGUAUGUGCCUGUGUGUGUGUGUGUGCGUGCACACGUAUGUUUGCUUUGAGCACUGAACCCAGGACACUCCCUUGCACGCACCUUAACAUUGAGCUAUCCCCCAGACACAGCUCUGUCUCCUGGCCACUACUCUGGGUCACUCCAUUGCUCCACUGAGAGAAAAGUUCAAGAGAGAGAGAGAGAGAGAGUGAGGAAAUAUUCAAAAGGCCGAGCACUGCAGCUCUGACUGCUUUGGGCAUCUGCAAAUGUGUGGCUGGGACAUUACCAAUUGUAUCCGUGUGCUUCAGUUCACAGCCCUGGAAGGAAGUAGGAGUCUUACCUCACCAAUAAUAAUAAUAAUAAUAAUAAUAAUAAUAAUAAUAAUAAUAAUAAUUAAUUGAAUUUCAAUCCAGUCUGUCAACUUUUCCAAGGAUUACCCUUCCCUGGAGGAAAGCCGUUUCGUUUUUAAGCAGGUUGGGGUUUCUCGGGGGACCUGGUAAAAUCAUGUCUCCUGGCUCUCACCACGUGGCUCCUUUCAGCACUCAGAUUUGUCACCUAAUUAAGAAGCUCCAUUGAUGUCCCCAAAUGAUUGUUCUGCUGAAAGACGUGUUCAGAACUUUCUCCGAAGAUCAGCAAAGUUUCCUCUUUUUUUGUUUGAAUUCUGCAAUGUAAAUAAAUGUAAAUCAUGAAGUGA